UCCGGUUUGUCACCGGCAGUCUGGCGUGAGUCCCCAACUUAAUGCUGGCAACACGCCACGGGGGUUGCGCUCGUUGCGGGACUUAACCCAACAUCUCACGACACGAGCUGACGACAGCCAUGCAGCACCUGUGGCGCACCCUCGAAGGUCACACGUUCCGUGCGCUUGCAGCGCCAUGUCAAGCCCAGGUAAGGUUCUUCGCGUUGCAUCGAAUUAAAGAACAUGCUCCGCUGCUUGUGCGGGCCCCCGUCAAUUCUUUUGAGUUUCAGUCUUGCGACCGUACUCCCCAGGCGGCGAACUUAACGCGUUAGCUUCGGCACAGACAGAUUCGACUCCGCCCACACCUAGUGUUCAUCGUUUACGGCGUGGACUAC
rnacentral:misc_RNA from 1 species